rnacentral:rRNA from 1 species
UACGUGAGGGGCGAACGUUGUUCGGUGUCACUGGGCUUAAAGGGUGCGUAGGUGGUUCUGUAAGUAAGGUGUGAAAUCCCUCGGCUUACCCGGGGAAUUGCAUUUUAUACUGCAGGACUUGAGGUCUAAAGGGGAAAAGGGAACUCCAGGUGUAGCGGUGAAAUGCGCAGAUAUCUGGGGGAAGGCCGGCGGCGAAGGCGGCAUCCUGGACCGGCAUUGACGCUGAGGGAGCGAAAGCCAGGGGAGCAAACGGG